rnacentral:rRNA from 1 species
UACGUAGGGUGCGAGCGUUAUCCGGAAUUAUUGGGCGUAAAGGGCUCGUAGGCGGUCUGUUGCGUCAGGAGUGAAAACUCGGGGCUUAACCCCGAGCCUGCUUCUGAUACGGGCAGACUAGAGGUAUGCAGGGGAGAACGGAAUUCCUGGUGUAGCGGUGAAAUGCGCAGAUAUCAGGAGGAACACCGGUGGCGAAGGCGGUUCUCUGGGCAGUUACCUGACGUGAGGAGCGAAAGUGUGGGGAGCGAACAGG